CCUAUUUCUCCCAGAUGAACAGGAGCUGAGU
rnacentral:piRNA from 1 species